CCUACGGGUGGCAGCAGUGAGGAAUAUUGGUCAAUGGUCGAGAGUCUGAACCAGCCAAGCCGCGUGAAGGAUGAAUGCCCAAAGGGUUGUAAACUUCUUUUAUAAAGGAAUAAAACGUGGCACGCGUGCCUUUUUGAAUGUACUUUAUGAAUAAGCAUCGGCUAACUCCGUGCCAGCAGCCGCGGUAAUACGGAGGAUCCGAGCGUUAUCCGGAUUUAUUGGGUUUAAAGGGUGCGUAGAUGGGCUGUUAAGUCAGUUGUGAAAGGUUGCGGCUCAACCGUAAAAUUGCAAUUGAUACUGGCAGUCUUGAGUACAGGUGAGGUAGGCGGAAUUCGUGGUGGAGCGGUGAAAUGCUUAGAUAUCACGAAGAACCCCGAUUGCGAAGGCAGCUUACUAAACUGUGACUGACAUUGAGGCUCGAAAGUGUGGGUAUCAAACAGGAUUAGAUACCCGAGUAGUC
rnacentral:rRNA from 1 species